ensembl:lncRNA
AUGCCUCUUUUCCUCUUUUGUUUUGUCAGUGAGGAGGAAGCGGAGCUGUGGGCCAAGCACCAAGAUGUGAUUUCAUUGGUGAACCGGCGGUUGUCACAAAAACUUACGACCAAUAUUGAGUUAAACCACCUUUACAACCUCCGAAAAGAAGAAGAGGAAGAAACUGUCAGACGAGAGAGUGCCAUCGCAGAACUGCAGAAAUUAAUGGUGGCCGAAGCCACUGAAUUUAAAGAGAAAAAGGGAGCGCUAGAUACACGGAUUGCAGAUCUUCAAAAGCUACUUGAUAUCAAGAGGGAGGAAUAUGCAAACAAAAGGGAUGAAUAUCACCAAUUGCUUCCACAACUGGACAACCUUAAGAAGAAAAUUGCAGAGCGUAAACAGGUAAGAUGACAAGGCUUUUGGUUAAAUCCUUUGUUUCCAUUUGCUUAACAUACAGUAGGCAUUAUACUGUAUAUACUAGCCUAGUUUUUCAGCCCUUUUUUUAAGACUGAAAAAGCCCCCCUCGGCUUAUACUCGGGUGAGUGUCCUGGUUGGCUUAUAUUUGGGUCAGCUUAUACUCGAUAAUAUAUGGUACAUUUAUUAUUUUUCUCUAUUAUUAUUGGUAUUAUCACAUUUAUUAUUUUUCUCUAUUAUUGUUGCUGCUAUUACAUUUAUUUUACUCUAUUAUUAUUAUUAUUAUUAAUAAUAAUAAUAAUAGUAAUAAUAAUAAUAAUACAUUUAUUAUUUCACUCUGAUCUUAUUAUUAUUAUUGCAUUUAUUAUUUUACUCUAUUAUUACUUAUAUUCCCGUCCCCUUGAUCAGGUCAUGUAAGUGUUAUUUAUUUCUAUAAUUGUAUUAUUUUACUUUGCUUAAUAAUGUGUUAUUAUGUUGUUAUGUAAUGUUGUGUUGUUUUUAUGAUUGGAAACCACCCUGAGUCCCAUCCAGGAGAUAGGGCGGUAUAUAAAUAAAGUUUAUUAUUAUUAUUAUUAUUAUUAUUAUUAUUAUUAUGACACAGCAAACAAGAUAGAUAUGCUGGAUUUCAUAUCACAAAAUCACAAGUUGAACACUUCCCAAGUGUCUAGGACUGUGUGAUGUAUUUUUGGAUGAUGCGUGCAGAUUAUUAUUAUUAUUAUUAUUAUUACAUGUAUUAUUUUACUCUAUUAUUAUUAAAAGGAUACAUAAGCACAUUUACAUUGAAGAAGAUGAGAAUAAUGAUUUGAUCAGAGUUGGACAGUCUUAUCUUAAAUUUGAGCUUUAGGUAAAUAUUCAGAAACAUUAAACCUACUGAUGCCUCAAUUAAUGUAAUUUUAUUGGUAUCUAUUUUUAUUUCUGAAAUUUACCACCCUCGGCUUAUACUGGAGUCAAUGUUUUCCCAGUUUUUUUAUGGUAAAAUUAGGUGCCUCGGCUUAUAUUCAGGUCAGCUUAUACUUGAGUAUAUACGGUAGUUAUUUGACACAAUGGGAACUGCCUUUUCUCUCUGAUUUCCAUUUAGUUUCUCAGCAUGAAGCUAGAGAUCCUCCUUUGAGUGUAGUACUAAAUUGGCUCAGCAAAAACCUAGAUGUGAGCACCAAAACUUGUAAUGCUAUUGGUAAGAAAUCACCGUGGAGUGCUGAGUUCUGACAUGUGUUGCUAGCUUUUAUGAGGCCUUGGAUAGUACUCUAAAGUAGUGAUUUAAUAAGUAUUAUUUUAAAAAAUCUCUACCUUUUGUGUAUGAUAUUUAACCCUGCUGAAUGUGAGUUUUGUUUUUUUUACGUUUGAUAGAUCAUCAGUGAUUUGAGGGCUGAGCUGGGACAGCUUUUCAAAAGAGUUAAAUCUCAAAUACAUGUAUUUGAGCAGAACAAGGCUAAAAAAGAAGAACUCCUCCAAAAGAAGUAAGAAGACUUACUAAUUUUUUAAAAAUGUUUUAUAUAUUUCAAUGUCCCUUAGGUUUAUCUUGAUACUAGUAUGAAACAAAGCACACUUUGUAGCUGAGAGCAUGCAUCCAUAUGAGAAGACCAUAAUGCUCAAUUUCCAUAGGCUACUAGGCUGAGAUUAGUUUGGAACAACAUUGUGCAUUUGGGAGCAUUUCCAUUUAUGGAAAUGCAACAAUGCUUAAUCCUGAAGAGUGAAGACUCCCUCAUCAUGGGCAGUAGUAAGUACUGUAUAUAUUAUUUAUUUUAUUUUAUUUACAGCAUUUAUAUUCCGCCCUUCUCACGCCGAAGGGACUCAGGGCGGAUCACAUUACACAUUACACAUAUAGGCAAACAUUCAGUGCCUUUUAACAUAGAACAAAGACAAGACAAACAGGCUCCGAGCGGGCCUCAAACUCAUGACCUCCUGGUCAGAGUGAUUCAUUGCAGUUAAUUGCAGCUGGCAUGCUCUCCCGCCUGCGCCCCAGCCCGGGCCUGUAUAUACUCGAGUAUAAGCCUGUAUAUACUCGAGUAUAAGCCUAGUUUUUCAGCCCCUUUUUAGGGCUGAAAAGGCUCCCCUUGGCUUAUACUCGAGUGAGUGUCCUGGCCGGCUUCUAUUCAGGUCGGCUUAUACUUGAGUAUAUGUGUUAUGGUUGAGCCUUCGGGCUCCGGUAAUAGAAGAAGGGGUCAUAAGAGCUGUUUUUUGUUACUUAUCACACUGAAGUCAAGUGUUUGCCCUGUUCUUUGUUUCCUACGGGCGUUUUUAGUUCUGUAACCUCAAUAAACUGAGUUUUGUUUUACUCGCUGGCGUUCUGUCUGUGACAAUAUAGGUAUUCAGAGUUGGACAGUCUUAUCUUAUUAAAGUCUUAUUAUUAUCUUAAAUUGCAGUUUUAUAUAAAUAUUCAAAAACAUUUAACCUACUGAUGCCUCAAAUUUUAUUAAUACAGUAGAGUCUCACUUAUCCAACACUCGCUUAUCCAACAUUCUGGAUUAUCCAACACAUUUUUGUAGUCAAUGUUUUCAAUACAUCAUGAUAUUUUGGUGCUAAAUUCAUAAAUACAGUAAUUACUACAUAGCAUAACUGCGUAUUGAACUACUUUUUCUGUCAAAUUUGUUGUAUAACAUGAUGUUUUGGUGCUUAAUUUGUAAAAUCAUAACCUAAUUUGAUGUUUUAUAGGCUUUUCCUUAAUCCCUCAUUAUCCAACAUAUUUGCUUAUCCAACAUUCUGUCGGCCCAUUUAUGUUGGAUAAGUGAGACUCUACUGUACUGUAUAUACUCGAGUAUAAGCCUAGUUUUUCAGCCCUUUUUUAGGGCUGAAAAAGCUCCCCUUGACUUAUACUCGAGUGAGUGUCCUGGCCGGCUUCUAUUCAGGUCGGCUUAUACUUGAGUAUAUAGGUAUUCAGAGUUGGACAGUCUUAUCUUAUUAAAGUCUUAUUAUUAUCUUAAAUUACAGUUUUAUAUAAAUAUUCAAAAACAUUUAACCUACUGAUGCCUCAAAUUUUAUUAAUAUCUAUUUUUAUUUUUGUUUUUGAAUUUGACCCAUCGCUGCUGCAUUUCCCACCCUAGUCUUAUACUCGAGUCAAUAAGUUUCCCCAGUUUUUGUGGUAAAAUUAGGUGCCUCAGCCUAUAUUCGGGUCAGCUUAUACUCGAGUAUAUACGGUAAUAGGGUUAGAUAGUUUGAGUUACCUGAAGAGUUCUCAUUGUUUUGUAUACCUAUCCUGCUCCCUUUGUGAUGUAAACUGAGGUCUCUUCUGCAUGGCUUUAGCACAGCAGGUUAAUAACUAAGCUGCAAUAAAUCUUGCCAACAGGAAGGUUGAGAGUUUGAAACCCGGGUCAGGGUGAGCUCCCAACCUUUAGCCCAGCUUCUGCCUACAUAGCAAUUCGAAAACAAAUGUGAUUAGAUAAAUAGGAACCGCAUGAAAGCGGGGAGGUAUUUAGGCUUGGUGUUAUGAUCAGAAAAAAGGAGGAAGUUUACAAAUAAAGAAAGCUCUUCGGAAGGGAGAUGGAGUGACAGCACACACAGCACAGCACAGCCUCCAAAGAUGCCGAAAGAUGGGAAAGCCUACAUAUUUAUUUAUUUAUUUAUUUACAGCAUUUAUAUUCCGCCCUUCUCACCCCGAAGGGGACUCAGGGCGGAUCACAUUACACAUAUAGGCAAACAUUCAAUGCCUUUUUAACAUAGGACAAAGACAAACAACAUAGCUCCGAGUGGGCCUCGAACUCAUGACCUCCUGGUCAGAGUGAUUGACUGCAGUAUACAUAUACCUCUAUCUGUGGUCUGUCUUGUCAUUGCUAUAAUUGACAUCGAAUGUUUGCCAUAUAUGUGUUCU